rnacentral:lncRNA from 1 species
AUUCACUUUUCUCUUUUUGUAUUUAAUUUCUAACCAAUUUUUUUAUCAAUUAAUAUCAAUUUUAGCCAUAUUUUUUAUUAAUUCUUUUUUUACACAGCCUAAACUUUAAACUCAAAUUUUAAUCUCAGCCAUUGAUGAAAAUUAAUCUAAUGGCUGAGAUUAAACAAACCUUUUCUUUCCUUUUUUAACAAAAGGGAACCCUACCCUCAUUUUCUCUCCCUCACAGCCACACUCCCUUCUCUUUUUUUCUCUCUCUUCUCUCAUCCUUUCUCUUUCUCCCUAAACUUCCACCAUGCCUGUCGCCGCUGGAGUAGUCAACCGGACAGUCGGCGACCCUCCUUACCCUCUCUCAUAUCGUUGCCUUACCACUACCAACGAAAACAACAAUAGUCCAACCAAACUCUAAGCGUCGACUAGUCCCCGUUCAGUCACUGCCGCCGCAUCAUCUAGUCCAACAAACCGGCCAGCUGCUGAUAAGUCUCACCAGUCAAUACCGCUACCACCACCUUUAUUUCCUUUAAUUUUCAUCUCCACUAGCCAACCGAUGUUGGGGUUUUUGAUGAACUUUACUGAGAUUUUGGCCCGAUUUGAUUUCUUAAUACUUUCAAUUGUAUGUUUGUUUGCUUUGUUUGUGAAUUACCUGAAUCUGAUUCUUAGAUUAAAAAUACGUGACUUUUACUUUGAGUUUUGAUUCUAUUUCUUUAAUUAGGUGUUUGUUUAUGCCUCUGGGUUGAUAUAUGUAAAAAGCCCCAAAUUUUAUGAACUUUGAUUAAACCCUAAAGUUUUACUAGCUGAUGUUUCAGUGAUUUUACGAUUCUGGACGACCUUAUUAUUGGUUGUCAAUAUUUUGAUGCAUAAUUAGUGAUAUUGAGCUGCU